rnacentral:rRNA from 1 species
GAUGAACGCUAGCGGCAGGCUUAAUACAUGCAAGUCGAGGGACAGCACAGGUAGCAAUACUGGGUGGUAACCGGCAAACGGGUGCGGAACACGUACACAACCUUCCUUUAAGUGGGGGAUAGCCCAGAGAAAUUUGGAUUAAUACCCCGUAAUAUAGUUGAAUGGCAUCACUUGAUUAUUAUAGCUACGGCGCUUAAUGAUGGGUGUGCGGCUGAUUAGAUAGUUGGCGGGGUAACGGCCCACCAAGUCUACGAUCAGUAGCUGAUGUGAGAGCGUGAUCAGCCACACGGGCACUGAGACACGGGCCCGACUCCUACGGGAGGCAGCAGUAAGGAAUAUUGGUCAAUGGACGCAAGUCUGAACCAGCCAUGCCGCGUGAAGGAUUAAGGUCCUCUGGAUUGUAAACUUCUUUUAUUUGGGACGAAAAAGGGCCUUUCUAGGUCAACUGACGGUACCAGAUGAAUAAGCACCGGCUAACUCCGUGCCAGCAGCCGCGGUAAUAC